AGAGAUGUGAGUUUAUUAAUGAAUAAUAAUUAUUGCACAACACAUGCAUUCACACAAUUGUAUAAAUAUAUCAACCUAGUCAUCCGACUAGGUAUAUGCUCACACAGCCAGUCACACAAAUGGCAUAUCACCAGCACUCACAAUUAUUAACAUCUUCAUAUAAUCACAUCACGUGGAAAUUAGUCAGUGGAGUCACCGACCCCCCGAUGAGCCGUCCUCCCACAUGGCUCAUCCUCUCACAUGUGCACCAGGGAGCCGAUCCCCCAUACUGGCCGACCGGUCUAAUCCUCACUUGACCAGCCCUCUCAUU
rnacentral:lncRNA from 1 species